UACAGAGGUCUCAAGCGUUGUUCGGAUUCAUUGGGCGUAAAGGGUGCGUAGGCGGCGCGGUAAGUCGGGUGUGAAAUCUUGGAGCUUAACUCCGAAACUGCAUUCGAUACUGCCGUGCUUGAGGACUGGAGAGGAGACUGGAAUUUACGGUGUAGCGGUGAAAUGCGUAGAUAUCGUAAGGAGACCAGUGGCGAAGGCGGGUCUCUGGACAGUUCCUGACGCUGAGGCACGAAGGCCAGGGAGCAAACGGG
rnacentral:rRNA from 1 species